GUAGGUGGCAAGCGUUGUCCGGGAAUUAUUGGGGCGUAAAGCGCGCGCAGGCGGUUCUUUAAGUCUGAUGUGAAAGCCCACGGGCUCAACCGUGGAGGGUCAUUGGAAACUGGAGAACUUGAGUACAGAAGAGGAAAGCGGAAUUCCACGUGUAGCGGUGAAAUGCGUAGAGAUGUGGAGGAACACCAGUGGCGAAGGCGGCUUUCUGGUCUGUAACUGACGCUGAGGCGCGAAAGCGUGGGGAGCAAACAGGAUUAGAUACCCUGGUAGUCCACGCCGUAAACGAUGAGUGCUAAGUGUUAGGGGGUUUCCGCCCCUUAGUGCUGCAGCUAACGCAUUAAGCACUCCGCCUGGGGAGUACGGCCGCAAAGGCUGA
rnacentral:rRNA from 1 species